ACAGGCUGACAUGUCAUAAGAUGUCUGUGAAAAUUCAUAGUGGAGAAACAUAAUGAUACUUUUAGAGAUAAGAUGCAGUCAUUUAUGAGAAUCAUCUUUCUUUUCCAGAGUUCAUCAACAUUGAUAAAUUUUCCUUUUGCAACAAACCAUCCAAAAAAUCUCCACCUUUCUUGGUACCCUUGGGAAUUGCCAAAUGUGUGCAUCUAAUUCAUGAUUGAAAGCCUUGAUGUGAAGGUCCCAUUAGAACCCAACUCCCAUCUCCACCUAUCUCUCUUCCUCGAGAUAGAAACAAUGUUGUUGUUGUCUUUUUUUUUUUUUUUUUUACUUCUUCUUGUAGUAUGACAAACUCCUGAAUUUCUGUUUCCAUUAGGUUCAUGGGAAAACAAGGAUUCCAUCUAAAUGCACCUCCCUCUAACUUAAAACAAUCUGCUCUCCUUAAAAAUCUCCUGUCCAAGGUUGUACUGUAUAAAUUUUAGAAGAGGUAAUGUAUACUACUCAAAGAGAUACAAAUUGGGGAUUGCAAAUCAGCCAUUCAAUUUAAGCAUGGCAAAUGUGGCUAAGGAGUUCUGUAGUGCCAUAAGGUAGAGAAAGAAGGGCUAGACUGGUAUGUUAGUUACACACCAUUUUAAAAUGGUGGUGACUCUUCCAAUGUACAUAUGGCAUAGUUGUAUUGCUAUCCGGACCGUGCAAAUCAAUGACGUAACUGUGGAUAGAUCAUAACAAAACCAUAGUGCCGACGAGAUGGAAAACCAUCUUAUUUUUCAUUUGAAUUUGGAUCACUCACUAUUUUACUUUUAACCAUUCAUUUUUUAGCCAUUGAUUGGAUGAUUAGGAUUGUUUGAUUACUGUCAUGUUUACAGAUUGGUCCAUGGGUCAAUGAGGAGGAUCCAUGCCUGCCAAACAGUGGACAUUCAAGGCCUUUUUAUGAUGGGUUGCUGACAUCAUCAUUUGCUAGUGAUGUCAGAGCCCAUGGGUCUCCAAAUAAUGAAGGAAUGGGUAUUGUAUGUUGGAACAAAAGGUUGUUGAUAUUAGGUAUCUCUAGAGCCGUUCCAUGCAUUUCCAUUUCAUCUCUACCGGGAAAGGCCAACUUUGUUGUAGUGACGGUGCAGAAAAUAUGCCAAAGAUUGGAUUGAUUUGGGAUGAAUUUCUUUUUCUGCCAGGGGAGUAUUUUGUAAAUGGGCUCAUAUGAUGGGCAACAUCCCAAGUUUUUAAUGGGAUCAUGCCGGAAUGUAGCAGUCUUGUUACAAGUUUGUUAAUAAAAAAAAAAAAAAGUUUAUGUUGAAAAAAGGAAGAAGAAGAAAAGAAGAUAAACCCAUGCCUAGCCCAUUUCAGGCUGGUCUCGUGUACCAUUGGGUUACCAUGCCCAUAUCGACCCUUACUCUUGACUAAAUUUAAGAAAUUUGCAAUUCUUUUUAAUAAAAUUUUCUUAUUCUUAAAAAGAGUAUAACGGGACAGUAUUUUCUUAGUGAAAUGUGUAAAUUAGCAGCAAUAUGAUGAA